rnacentral:rRNA from 1 species
UAGAGUUUGAUCAUGGCUCAGAUUGAACGCUGGCGGCAGGCCUAACACGUGCAAGUCGAGCGGUAACAUGUCUAGCUUGCUAGAUGAUGACGAGCGGCGGACGGGUGAGUAAUGCUUGGGGAUCUACCUUAGAGUGGAGGAUAACCAUUGGAAACGAUGGCUAAUACUGCAUAGUAUCUGCGGAUUAAAGGGGGCUUAGGCUCUUGCUUUAAGAUGAACCCAAGUGGGAUUAGCUAGUUGGUGAGGUAAUGGCUCACCAAGGCGACGAUCCCUAGCUGGUCUGAGAGGAUGAUCAGCCACACUGGAACUGAGACACGGUCCAGACUCCUACGGGAGGCAGCAGUGGGGAAUAUUGCACAAUGGGCGAAAGCCUGAUGCAGCCAUGCCGCGUGUGUGAAGAAGGCCCUAGGGUUGUAAAGCACUUUCAGUCAGGAGGAAAGGUUAGUAGUUAAUACCUGCUAGCUGUGACGUUACUGACAGAAGAAGCACCGGCUAACUCCGUGCCAGCAGCCGCGGUAAUACGGAGGGUGCGAGCGUUAAUCGGAAUUACUGGGCGUAAAGCGCAUGCAGGUGGUUCAUUAAGUCAGAUGUGAAAGCCCGGGGCUCAACCUCGGAACUGCAUUUGAAACUGGUGAACUAGAGUACUGUAGAGGGGGGUAGAAUUUCA